GAAGUCAGGGACCAUUGUGAAGUUGGAAGAAUGCCCACAAAAUCCAGCUUGAAACCUGCUGGCUCUGAGGGUCCUGCUGGCUCAGCAGUGCUGGUAACCAAGAAGUAUCGCAGGCCCAGGAAAGUUACCCUUCUAUUUGCGGAGAGCUAUUGCCUAUCGGCCUGGACCAGCAGAUAACUCAGCACUCAUGAUCAGCUGUCAAGCUAUAACAGAGUGUUGAGGCCGCCCCUGAAACCACAGGGCCAUUUUGUAGGAACUAAGAAGCCAACCUCAAGGAAUCACUCGCCCCAAGAAGACUUUGUUCUGAUCUGAUGUGUUUCUAGCCUGGUGGAGCCUCAGCUAUCCAAAGGAAGAGCUGUUAAGAUGAUUGGAAUUUUGGUUUUUCCGAUUCACUCUUUUUUCUCUCCAGCAAUCUGCCUUAGACAGCAGGAGAAAAGGAAACUUAGCCUCAGAGGUGGGGUCCUUCGGAAGGACUGACAGUGGGCUAGCUCUCCUGCUGCUGGGAGCCUGAGUGCCUUUGGCUCCUUGCCCAGAGCUCAGCUUUACCACGGAGGUUACCUGCUUACCAUCAACAUCGAAACUUGCCUCUUCCCCUGGGUGUAUUCUCCCUCUUUUGUGGACAGUUUGGUUCCUCCAAACUGCUCUCCCUGUGAAGAAAGCCGAUGGAAUUCAGGGAGCCUGGCCAGCCACCCAGGCCUUUAUAAAGGUCCUCGUACCACAGGAUGUAUGGGAGACCCAAUAAAGACUUUGCAAAAUG
ensembl:lincRNA 1700008K24Rik RIKEN cDNA 1700008K24 gene